AACUCUCUAAUUGGCUUGUUUGCAUUUAUUCAUUUCAGACACUUACAAACAGCACAAAUGGUGGAAAGGAAAUUAGACUAAAAACAGUCCUUUAUAUAAGGACAGUAUAUUAAAUUGAUUUUUAAAAUUAGGGGCUGGACUAGGAGCUUGCUCUGUCUACCCCACGCAUUGACCUGGUAUUGCAGUGUUUCCAGGAAUGGUGCAUCACUU
rnacentral:snRNA from 1 species